rnacentral:sRNA from 1 species
ACCAUAGAGAGAGGCAAGGAUGAAGCCGAGAGGAUACUGCAGAGGUCUCUGGUGCAUGUGUGUAUGUGUGCGUUUGUGUGUGUUUGUGUGUCUGUAUGUUCUGCCCCAGUGAGACUGCAGCCCUUGUAAAUACUUUGUCACCUUUUGCAAGAAGGAAUCUGAACAAUUGCAACUGAAGGCACAUUGUUAUCAUCUCGUCUUUGGGUGAUGCUGUUCCUCACUGCAGAUGGAUAAUUUUCCUUUUAAUCAGGUUUGGGCAAUUAUGAAUAAAGCUGCUGUAUACAUCCAUGUGCAGGAUUUUGUGUGGACAUAAGUUUUCAACUCCUUUGGGUUAAAUCCUAAGGAAUUUCAUAUGCAGAAUAAAUGGUAAUUAAAAUGUGCAGGAUGACAAGAUGGAGCAAACAGUGCUUGUACCACCAGGACCUGACAGCUUCAACUUCUUCACCAGAGAAUCUCUUGCGGCUAUUGAAAGACGCAUUGCAGAAGAAAAGGCUAAGAAUCCCAAACCAGACAAAAAAGAUGACGAUGAAAAUGGCCCAAAGCCAAAUAGUGACUUGGAAGCUGGAAAGAACCUUCCAUUUAUUUAUGGAGACAUUCCUCCAGAGAUGGUGUCAGAGCCCCUGGAGGACCUGGACCCCUACUAUAUCAAUAAGAAAGUGAGUGUUUUUUAUCAGGCAUAUUUUGCUGCUAAUUGCCUACUGCAUUCCUUGGA